UACAGAGGGGGCAAGCGUUGUUCGGAAUUACUGGGCGUAAAGGGCGCGUAGGCGGCCUUCUAAGUCGAACGUGAAAUCCCCGGGCUCAACCCGGGAACUGCGUCCGAUACUGGAAGGCUUGAAUCCGGGAGAGGGAUGCGGAAUUCCAGGUGUAGCGGUGAAAUGCGUAGAUAUCUGGAGGAACACCGGUGGCGAAGGCGGCAUCCUGGACCGGCAUUGACGCUGAGGCGCGAA
rnacentral:rRNA from 1 species